UACGGAGGCCUCGAGCGUUGUUCGGAAUCACUGGGCUUAAAGCGCGUGUAGGCGGGACGGUAAGUACCUUGUGAAAUCCCCGGCUUCAAUCCGGGAACUGCUUGGUAUACUGCCGUUCUUGAGGCAGGUAGGGGUCACUGGAACCUUAGGUGGAGCGGUGAAAUGCGUAGAUAUCUAAGGGAACGCCUGUGGCGAAAGCGGGUGACUGGGCCUGAUCUGACGCUGAGACGCGAAAGCGUAGGGAGCAAACGGG
rnacentral:rRNA from 1 species